rnacentral:misc_RNA from 1 species
GGCAGAAUUCACAUUGCAAAACUCACCUUUUUUCGUCCACAAAAGGAACAACUAAGAACUAUUAAGAAACCAUAAAUUUCAUAAAAAAUUACUUGGCUGCAUGAGUUUCUAAAAGGAAAAACCAAAGCAGCAACAAAUGCACAAAAACACCCUCCAAUCGCUAAACUUGCAUUCUUGAUGUAAAUUACAAAAACUCGUCUCCGAGUUAUGCAUGGCUCCUGUAGUAGCAAUGUCAUAUACAUAGUUAACCUCUAAAAUAAAAACAUGUCAAGACAGAUAAUAUCAAAGAACUGAGUAGACUUUACGCCCCCUAAUAGCAAGGGAUGACCAUCGCAACGAAAAGCUACUGCUCAUUAGCCUACGAUUCUAGGAUUCUUGCUCAAUCUUGAUGCACCUCCUCAGCAGGUGGGGGAGCAAAUCUCACAUU